ensembl:lncRNA
CUUGAAUGUAACACAUUGUGGAAAUCAUAAUAUAAGCAGCCAGGGGAUGAAAAACUUCUCAUUCCAAAUGGCUUUUAAUUAAAAAGAAAAAGAGAAAUCUAGUUUCACUGUAAUCUGUAUUAGAAGAUUAGCACGGAUGGAUGUCCUGCUCAGGACUCCCAAACCUCACCUUCUUAUCCUCUUUCCUGUCCUUUCCAACCUGUUUGACCUCGGUGCUUUCAUCACUAUGUGCAUUGUCUAAUAACCUAACAGUUUUAAAUUCAGUAUUCAUUUUUUGGAUUUUUAAAAAACAAAUACCUUUUAAAGACAGUUUUGUGUUCAACUUAUGUUAGAUGAUUUAUUUUAAAUUUAAUGACUGCAAAAACGUGCAUUUCUUUACUCUAAAAGCAUCAUGGAAUUUCAUUGCCAUAUUUAAAAAGUUCAUAUAAACCAACUGCCAAAAUACUACCACCUUAGAAAUAAUAUAGCUGUGGGCAAAUGUUACGGACUGCUGAGGCAAAAGUCACCCAAACUGUACAAAGGCAGGCUAUUCGUCAAGAAAGGAUACUUGGAUCAUCCUGAUGAAAUGAAUUACUGACUGCUCUCAUAAGUAAAAUCAAGUGCAGCCUGGACUUAAUUUUGCCCAGCAAGGAAAAGCUAAUUGGUGGUGGAGAAGGGAUAAGAAUGGCAGGAGAAAGCACCUUUGUCAUCCUCAACUUGGACUUGGCACAUGAGGUGAGUCACAAGUAACUUGUUACUGAUAAUAAGAGCAAAUUGUAAAUCAUCUAGUUUCUAAAAAUACAUACGUUUGAACAUAGGGUUAUCCUGAUGAUAUCAUUGCUCUUAUGUUCUUACAAGUAUGUGCUUCCUUGAGUGGGAGGGGAAGGCUGAUAUUAUAGCAAGCAGCAUGGAAUUCCACACAAGCAGCAGCCUGUUUUUCACUAUCACUAUGUGCUGGUGGCUCAGAUGGUAAACGGAGAAGGCAAUGGCACCCCACUCCAGUACUCUUGCCUGGAAAAUCCCAUGGAUGUAGGAGCCUGGUAGGCUGCAGUCCAUGGGAUCACUAAGAGUCGGACACAACUGAGCGACUUCACUUUCAUUUUUCACUUUCAUGCAUUGGAGAAGGAAAUGGCAACCCACUCCAGUGUUCUUGCCUGGAGAAUCCCAGGGACAGGCAAGCCUGGUGGGCUGCCGUCUAUGAGGUUGCGCAGAGUAGGACACCACUGAAGCGACUUAGCAGCAGUAGCAGCAGCAGAUUCUUUACCAACUGAGCUAUCAGGGAAGCUCAAGAACGCUGGAGUGGGUUGGCAUUUCCUACUCCAGGGAAUCUUCCUGACCCAGGGAUGGGACCUGCGUCUCCUGCACUGGCAGGUGGAUUCUUUACUACUGCACCACCUGGGCUUCCCCAAGUUAUGUGUGGUAACUGCUAAAAAUGCUAGCAUUAGGUUACUCUAGUGUAGGUAACUGGAGAGACAAUGGUACCCCACUCCAGUACUCUUGCCUGGAAAAUCCCAUAGACAGAAGAGCCUGGUGGGCUGCCAUCUGUGGGGUCGCACAGAGCUGGACAUGACUGAAGCGACUUAGCAGCAGCAGUGUAGGUAACAGAUCAAAGAAGGCAAGUGGUCUGUUAUCCUCUGCAUUAAUAGAUCAUUUCUACAGGAUCAGGUUUAAUUUGGGGUGCCAGAUUUAAAUAAUUAUGAACCUUGAUUACAACUAUGGGCUAUCCAUUAGAAAGCAACUAAGAUCACCAAGCAUUUGGAAACUUUAUCAUGCAUGAAAGGGUUAAGGAUCUGGGGCACAGACUGUGGGGAGACCAGACUAACUUAGUGCAGCACAAGGUGCUAACUCUUCCCUGGAGGACUAUGUUUAGGCCCAUCUGCUUGGGUUGUUAAAAUGGAGGCUACUAGGUUCUACAAAUAUGAAUUCAGCAGCCUGGGGUCUUGGAAACUGCAGUUUGAUACUCAACCCAGGGGAAUGAUGAAGGUGAUGUAAUGACUUUGAGAAACACUGUUUUGUGCGAUGGAUAUAGAAGCAAUGUUGGGAUAACAAAGAAGCAGAACUACUCCACAUUAAAAACAAACUUUUUUUUUUUUGCUAACAGUCAGAAAACAGUGGAGUAAGCCAUAUUGCUAUAAUAUUACUCAGGACUUUCAUAGAUAUUCCUUAUAUCAGGAAUGAUGAAAGAUACCCUAAAGGACAUUGUAGGCUUAAAAAGUUCAAUCAUUUGGACUGUAGCAGAAAGAAAGGAAUAUCAAUAAAAUUGUAUCCUUUGGUUUCAGUGGAAGAGAAUGCUAAUAUCUAUAUUAAGUAGCCUCUUGUUUAAUUAUAAUACAACUUAUUUCAUGUGUAAACAUCUGAGUCUUAAUUUGUUUGAACAGUGGAAAAAUUAGGCUACAAACUAUUGGGUAGGUUUGUGUUGUCCUCUUUUUAUGCAAUUAAUUUCAACUAAGUG